GUAGGUGGCAAGCGUUGUCCGGAAUUAUUGGGCGUAAAGCGCGCGCAGGCGGUUCUUUAUGUCUGAUGUGAAAGCCCACGGCUCAACCGUGGAGGGUCAUUGGAAACUGGAGAACUUGAGUACAGAAGAGGAAAGCGGAAUUCCACGUGUAGCGGUGAAAUGCGUAGAGAUGUGGAGGAACACCAGUGGCGAAGGCGGCUUUCUGGUCUGUAACUGACGCUGAGGCGCGAAAGCGUGGGGAGCAAACAGGAUUAGAUACCCUGGUAGUCCACGCCGUAAACGAUGAGUGCUAAGUGUUAGGGGGGUUUUCCGCCCCCCUUAGUGCUGCAGCUAACGCAUUAAGCACUCCGCCUGGGAGUACGGCCGCAAGGCUG
rnacentral:rRNA from 1 species